GAUGAACACUAGCAGCAGGCCUAAUACAUGCAAGUCGAGGGGUAGUGGUUGCUUGCAGCCAUGAGACCGGCGCACGGGUGCGUAACGCGUAUGCAACCUACCUUCAUCUGGGGGAUAGCCCGGAGAAAUCCGGAUUAAUACCGCAUAAAAUCACAGUACGGCAUCGUACAAUGAUCACACAUUUAUGGGAUGGAGAUGGGCAUGCGUGUCAUUAGUUAGUUGGCGGGGUAACGGCCCACCAAGACCGCGAUGACUAGGGGAUCUGAGAGGAUGACCCCCCACACUGGUACUGAGACACGGACCAGACUCCUACGGGAGGCAGCAGUAAGGAAUAUUGGUCAAUGGGCGCAAGCCUGAACCGGCCAUGCCGCGUGCAGGAAGACGGCCCUCUGGGUUGUAAACUGCUUUUAUUCGGGAAUAAACCUGCUUACGUGUAAGUAGCUGAAUGUACCGAAGGAAUAAGGAUCGGCUAACUCUGUGCCAGCCGCCGCGGUAACAC
rnacentral:rRNA from 1 species